GUCACCAAGUGGUGAAAUCUAGUGAAGAGAGAGAGAAAAAAAUGUUUGGCAUAAAAAACGAGGGAGAAAAGUCUCCUCUGCUGGCAGUGACGGCGUGUCGUCCGAGGUGACAGUGACGCACUGCCUGAGGUGGCAAUGGCUUGCUUGGCGCAGUGUAGGCUAGCCUACAGGUGCACAUGCCUCCUUGUCACACGCAAGCCUACUGCACACUGGGGCUAGCAUUCGAGCUCGUAGGCCUAUUGCGCGCAGGCCCAAGGCGUACAGGGACCUAUCCGCGUAGGCCUGCUGUGCAGACAAUGCACGCACAGUGUGCGACGCUUGUCCACACAUGAGGUGAUGGACAGACAGCUUGCUUGCUAGCAUCAAGAACGCGCAAGGUUAUCCCCACACCACAAGCGUGAAUGGGACAUGCGCACACACAGUGAGCAGGCGCCCACGCGGGCAUCUCCCCUUCACUGCGGGAUUUCUCCCCUUUU
rnacentral:lncRNA from 1 species